ACAGUCGUGGCCGAGUGGUUAAGGCGAUGGAAUCCAUUGGGGUCUCCCCGCACAGGUUCGAAUCCUGUCGACUGCG
rfam:Ixodes scapularis strain Wikel colony gcontig_1108379774848, whole genome shotgun sequence.